UACAGAGGUCUCAAGCGUUGUUCGGAUUCAUUGGGCGUAAAGGGCGCGUAGGCGGCGGGGUAAGUCGGGUGUGAAAUCUCAGGGCUCAACCCUGAAACUGCACUCGAUACUGCUCUGCUUGAGGACUGGAGAGGAGACUGGAAUUCACGGUGUAGCAGUGAAAUGCGUAGAUAUCAGGAGGAACACCGGUGGCGAAGGCGGGUCUCUGGGCCGAUACUGACGCUGAGGAGCGAAAGCGUGGGGAGCGAACAGG
rnacentral:rRNA from 1 species